rnacentral:rRNA from 1 species
UACGUAGGGGGCAAGCGUUGUCCGGAAUCAUUGGGCGUAAAGAGCGUGUAGGCGGUUCGGUAAGUCCGCUGUAAAAGUCCAGGGCUCAACCCUGGAAAGCCGGUGGAAACUGUCGAACUAGAGUCCGGAAGAGGCGAGUGGAAUUCCUGGUGUAGCGGUGAAAUGCGCAGAUAUCAGGAGGAACACCGGUGGCGAAGGCGGGUCUCUGGACCGAUACUGACGCUGAGGAGCGAAAGCGUGGGGAGCGAACAGG